UGCUGAACCCAGAAACUUUCUCUUACC
rnacentral:piRNA from 1 species